rnacentral:rRNA from 1 species
UACGGAGGGAGCUAGCGUUAUUCGGAAUUACUGGGCGUAAAGCGCACGUAGGCGGCUUUGUAAGUUAGAGGUGAAAGCCUGGAGCUCAACUCCAGAAUUGCCUUUAAGACUGCAUCGCUUGAAUCCAGGAGAGGUGAGUGGAAUUCCGAGUGUAGAGGUGAAAUUCGUAGAUAUUCGGAAGAACACCAGUGGCGAAGGCGGCUCACUGGACUGGUAUUGACGCUGAGGCACGAAAGCGUGGGGAGCAAACAGG